CAGGUAUUUUGGUGUCAACUGUUUUUAUAUUCCUGGGUUAUCUUUGGAUUUCUGAUGGAGUGUUUCCAUAGAGACUUGGUGUGCUUGGCUUGUUCCUUUUGAUUCAGGAACUGUUCCUACGUGUUCAUAUUUUCCUCGUGGGUACAUACUGUUCUUGGCUGCCUUUGGCAUCCAAGUUAUGCCCUCCUGCUUCCCAGGAACCUUUGAGGGAGCACUUUGUCCCUGGUGAGACACUGAGCUCUAGAAAGUUGGGAAUGGUGCCGGCUGGAACACAAACAAGCUUUUCUUUAGAGUGGGUCCACUCACCCUGCUCCAGCUGGGGACACAUGGCUCUCCACCUCCUGUCUGCCCUGAGCCCCUUGGCAGCAGCCACCAGCUUGGGGGUCCUGGAUUUGCUGCUUUGGGGCUGGACCUGUUCUGCACCCUUCAGAGAGAGAAGCUGAAGAAAGGCAGUUUGAAGUGGGAAGCCGGAGACAGUGGGGGAGUAGGAGAAAAAGAAAACCUCAUUGUUUUUGACAUUUCUGGAAAGCUCUGGGCUGAUCUCGGUGUCAGGGGCCGUGUGUGGGAUCCACUGCACCAGGGCGACUUUUGCAGCCUUCCUUAAUUAGCUCUGUCUUUUCUGUGGUGGCUUCUGGGUCUCUCAUGGGACUGAUUGAAUCCUUCUAAAACCAAGACCUGCACAGAGGUGCUGAGGACUCUGGUAAUUUC